rnacentral:rRNA from 1 species
CGGACGGGUGAGUAACGCGUGAGAAUCUGCCUUCAGGUUGGGGACAACAGUUGGAAACGGCUGCUAAUACCCAAUGUGCCGAGAGGUGAAAGCUUUAGUGCCUGAAGAUGAGCUCGCGUCUGAUUAGCUAGUUGGUGGGGUAAAGGCCUACCAAGGCGACGAUCAGUAGCUGGUCUGAGAGGAUGAUCAGCCACACUGGGACUGAGACACGGCCCAG